GACGAACGCUGGCGGCGUGCUUAACACAUGCAAGUCGAACGGAAAGGCCCUGCGUUUGUGGGGUGCUCGAGAGGCGAACGGGUGAGUAACACGUGAGUAACCUGCCCUUGACAGUGGGAGAACUUCACGAAAAUGGGGCGAAUACCGGAUAGGAUAUCCUGCUGCACGGGGGGGGUUGGAGAGAGUCGGCGGUGGGGGCUGGACUCGCGGCUUAUCAGCUGGUUGGUGGGGUAGUGGCUUACCACGGCUUUGACGGGUAGGCGGCCUGGGAGGGUGGCCGGCCUCCUUGCGCCUGCGAUACGCCCCAGACUCCUACGUGCCGCAGCAGUGGGGAAUAUUGCGGAACGGGCCGGCGCCUGAUGUAGCAGCGCCCCGUGCGGGAUGCCGGCCUACGGGUUGUAAACCGCUUUCGACUGUGCUGUAGCGUUCUUGACGGUACUGGGUCAAGAAGCCCCGGCUAACUACGUG
rnacentral:rRNA from 1 species